GACGAACGCUGGCGGCGUGCUUAACACAUGCAAGUCGAGCGAUGAAGAAGAGCUUGCUCUUCGGAUUAGUGGCGAACGGGUGAGUAACACGUGACUAACCUGCCCCUUUCUCUGGGAUAACGCUCCGAAAGGAGUGCUAAUACCGGAUACUCACAUCGAGGCACAUGCCUGGAUGUGGAAAGUUUGUCGGAAAGAGGAUGGAGUCGCGGCCGAUGAGCUUGUUGGUGGGGUAACGGCUGAACAAGGCGAGGACGGGUAGCCGGAGUGAUAGGGGGACCGGCCACACUGGGACUGAGACACGGCCCAGACUCCUACGGGAGGCAGCAGUGGGGAAUAUUGCGCAAUGGGCGAAAGCCUGAUGAAGCGACGCCGCGUGAGGGAUGAAGGUCCUCGGAUUGUAGACCUCUUUCAGUAGGGACGAAGCGAAAGUGAUGGUACCUAAAGAAGAAGCACCGGCUAACUAUGUGCCAGCCGCCGCGGUAA
rnacentral:rRNA from 1 species